rnacentral:rRNA from 1 species
GUGCCAGCAGCCGCGGUAAUACGGAGGGUGCAAGCGUUAUCCGGAUUCACUGGGUUUAAAGGGUGCGUAGGCGGGUAUGUAAGUCAGUGGUGAAAUCCCCGAGCUUAACUCGGGAACUGCCAUUGAUACUAUAUAUCUUGAAUGUUCUGGAGGUAUGCGGAAUAUGUCAUGUAGCGGUGAAAUGCUUAGAGAUGACAUAGAACACCUAUUGCGAAGGCAGCAUACUACGGAAAUAUUGACGCUGAGGCACGAAAGUGUGGGGAUCAAACAGGAUUAGAUACCCUGGUAGUCC